UACAGAGGUCUCAAGCGUUGUUCGGAUUUAUUGGGCGUAAAGAGCUCGUAGGCGGUUCGUCGCGUCGGCUGUGAAAUCCCGAGGCUCAACCUCGGGUCUGCAGUCGAUACGGGCGGACUGGAGUUCGGCAGGGGAGACUGGAAUUCCCGGUGUAGAGGUGAAAUUCGUAGAUAUCGGGAGGAACACCAGUGGCGAAGGCGGCGACCUGGGCUGACACUGACGCUGAGGUUCGAAAGCGUGGGGAGCAAACAGG
rnacentral:rRNA from 1 species